rnacentral:rRNA from 1 species
CCUACGGGGGGCUGCAGUGGGGAAUUUUGGACAAUGGGGGCAACCCUGAUCCAGCCAUUCCGCGUGAGUGAAGAAGGCCUUCGGGUUGUAAAGCUCUUUCGGCCGGGAAGAAAUCGCAUCUCCUAAUACGGGGUGUGGAUGACGGUACCGGAAGAAGAAGCACCGGCUAACUACGUGCCAGCAGCCGCGGUAAUACGUCGGGUGCACUCGUCGUUCGGAGUUACUGGGCGUCUCACUAACGCAGGCGUGAAAUCCCCGGGCUUAACCUGGGAACUGCGUUUGUGACUGGUGGGCUUGAGUGCGGCAGAGGGGGGUGGAAUUCCACGUGUAGCAGUGAAAUGCGUAGAGAUGUGGAGGAACACCGAUGGCGAAGGCAGCCCCCUGGGUCGACACUGACGCUCAUGCACGAAAGCGUGGGGAGCAAACAGGAUUAGAUACCCCAGUAGUC